GCUCCGGUGGCCUAGUGGUUAGAGCGUCUGCGUCGGAUGUGGGAGGUCGCGGGUUCGAACCCCGGUCGAGUCA